CCUACGGGUGGCAGCAGUCGAGAAUCAUUCACAAUGGGGGAAACCCUGAUGGUGCGACGCCGCGUGGGGGAAUGAAGGUCUUCGGAUUGUAAACUCCAGUCACGUGGGAGCAAAUGAAGAAGAUAGAAUCACAAGAGGAAGAGACGGCUAACUCUGUGCCAGCAGCCGUGGUAAUACAGAGGUCUCAAGCGUUGUUCGGAAUCACUGGGCGUAAAGCGUGCGUAGGCUGUUUCGUAAGUCGUGUGUGAAAGGCGCGGGCUCAACCCGCGGACGGCACAUGAUACUGCGAGACUAGAGUGAAGGAGAGGGAACCGGAAUUCUCGGUGUAGCAGUGAAAUGCGUAGAUAUCGAGAGGAACACUCGUGGCGAAGGCGGGUUCCUGGACAUUAACUGACGCUGAGGCACGAAGGCCAGGGGAGCGAAAGGGAUUAGAUACCCUAGUAGUC
rnacentral:rRNA from 1 species